AUGGGGAAGGCUGGUGGGAGGAGGGUCCCUCUGUCCCCUGGGGGUGACUUGUAUGAAGUGGCCUAUGGCAAACCCAGCCAGGCCCCUCUGAGAAAGAGGGCGAUUUUGCAGCCCAGGAGGAAGUGGGGACUGAUUGGAGACAUUCUGCAUUGCCCUCCCUGGGCUCUUCCUUGGGGGCUGUGUAUUUCACUUGUUUAUUGGGUGCAUUCCUUACAGUCACCUCCCCCAGGAAGCCCCCAGGAGGGCCUCUACUCUGUCCAGCCCCUCUUCCUGGAGUUUGUCUUUUGCCCACCUGCACCAGGAUGUAGCGGCAGCCUGAGCCACCCCGGAAGGAGAAGCUCCAUCUAUCAAAGAGACCGCACCGCCCUGGAUCAGCACGUCCUCGAAGCCCAACAUCACCCGGACCUGGGGAGGGCCACAGUGAAAACGGGAGGACGGUGUCCGGGGCGUUCCAGGAGUGGAGGCAUGUGCAAUGCCGAGGAGAAGGGGCUGAGACUGACAAAGACAGCGGGCGAGGUCCGGAGGAGACGGAUCCGAGGGCUGAGGACAGCGAAGCCCUCCACACCCAAGUCCCAGAGGUUCCCGGGGCGCGCCCCCUUCUCUCGCCCCUCACCCCCUGCAGCCUCAGGGUCAGCCUGGCCCUCUCCUCUCCCCGGGGACCUGGCCCCCAGCCUGCGGCUCCCCAAUUUCUACACCGGGGACCCAGCUCGCUCGUCUCCCUCCACCUCCCAGGGGUCCCGUCCCGGGUCCCAGAUCAAGUCCUAGGACUUGGGCUGGAGAGUGUGGAUCUCGGUGGAUCGGGUGGGAUCCGGAUGGGAUCUGAGCGGACAGCCGGCCGUGGUCUCCCAGACAACCCCCGACCAUCGCCACAGGCUGGCACGGCGGCGUAGACGGCAGCGCGCACACCCAGGAGCCCCUCUCCGAGCGCGCCCCCUCCCUCAUCCCCCAACUCCUCAACCCCUGAGCGCGCUCCACCUUUCCCGGCUCCUCCCUCCAAGAACCCUCCUCCCUCCGGCUCCGCAGCCCGGGCGCCCUUCCUCCCCUCCCUUCCUCGGCUCCCACUUCCCUCCACCUCCCCGUGCCUCGCUCCUCCCGACCACCACCUGAACACCUAGCGCCCGAGCGCCCUCUGGGGACCUCCACCCUUGAAGGCCCCGGGCCCCCACCUGCGAGCGGGCGCCCUGGCUCCGGCUCCGCUCCCUCCGUCCCCGCCCCCUCGGGCGGCGCUGCCCGGCCCCUCUCCCCCGCCCCCCCCGCGUGCCCUCCUCCUCCCGCGAAGUUUCAGGCUGUCAGUCCGUCGGUCUCGGGCCGUCCGCACCGGGCUGCAGGCGGCGGACGCCAUUGUGCGCGGAGCCGCGGGAGCGAGGCCCGGCCGCCUGGGUUCCUGCGGGCCUUGGCCGGGAGACCCGCCAGGUAGGGGCCAGGUGCGGGCCAGGUGCCGGCAGAGGCUUCGCCACCCCCCUCGGGCGCUCGGCCCACUACCCGCGUGCAGGUGACAGCCGCGGGGAGAGGGCACGGAGGGGCGGAGAGGUCGAGGCUGCGGGGGUAGGGUCCUGGGGCCGAGCGAGGGGCCCGCGAACCGGAGGGCAGGGCGGGGGCUGGGGAGGAGCCGCGAGAUCCCGAGGCGGGGAGGGGGGAAGGGGUGCAGGAGGGAAGAAGGCAAGGCGGAAAAACGGGGCGCUGGGUCAAGCUGCUCUGGAGGGGCGAGAGAAGAGGGCGCUGACAGGUGACCGGAACCCGAGUGACUCCGGAGGACCGGUGGGGUGGGGAGGCAGCGGGGGCGGGGGGGGAUCUGGUCUUGAGGAAAACUUGGGAGGGGUAAGAAGUCCUCGGGGAGCAGAAAUGGGGACAGGGGCCGGAGAGGGGGGUGUGCCGGGGAGAGAGGGAUUCCUAGGGGCGGCGGGGAGGGGCAGGGCUCGCGAGAAGGUCCGCACUGCGAGGUCACUGGGAGCCGCAGGCUUGGGGACCCGGGGAGCAGGCUGGAAGGGGGGGAAGUGCGUUUCUGGGGAGCGGAGGAGGGGGAGGGGAGCGAAGCUGGAGCCGGCAGUAAGGGGAGGCGGGGGCCGCGGAAGGAGGAGAGCUGCGG
rnacentral:lncRNA from 1 species